rnacentral:rRNA from 1 species
AUUGAACGCUGGCGGCAUGCUUUACACAUGCAAGUCGAACGGCAGCACGGGGGCAACCCUGGUGGCGAGUGGCGAACGGGUGAGUAAUGCAUCGGAACGUGCCUAGUAGUGGGGGAUAACGCGUCGAAAGAUGUGCUAAUACCGCAUACGCACUAUGGUGGAAAGCGGGGGAUCGCAAGACCUCGCGCUAUUAGAGCGGCCGAUGCCCGAUUAGCUAGUUGGUGGGGUAAUGGCCUACCAAGGCGACGAUCGGUAGCUGGUCUGAGAGGAUGAUCAGCCACACUGGGACUGAGACACGGCCCAGACUCCUACGGGUGGCUG